rnacentral:rRNA from 1 species
GACGAACGCUGGCGGCGUGCCUAACACAUGCAAGUCGAGCGGAGUCAGUAAGAGGAAGUUUUCGGAUGGAAUCUUGCUGGUUUAGCGGCGGACGGGUGAGUAACGCGUGAGCGACCAACCUUGCACAGGGGGAUAACGGACCGAAAGGUUCACUAAUACCGCAUGAGACCACGGUGUUGCAUGACACAGGGGUCAAAGGAGCAAUCCGGUGCAAGACGGGCUCGCGUCCGAUUAGGUAGUUGGAGGGGUAACGGCCCACCAAGCCUAUGAUCGGUAGCCGACCUGGGAGGGGGAUCGGCCACAUUGGAACUGAGAUACGGUCCAAACUCCUACGGGAGGCAGCAGUGGGGAAUAUUGGGCAAUGGGGGAAACCCUGACCCAGCAACGCCGCGUGAAGGAAGAAGGUUUUCGGAUUGUAAACUUCUGUCCUUGGUGAAGAGAAGAAGACGGUAGCCAAGGAGGAAGUCCCGGCUAACUACGUGCCAGCAGCCGCAGUAA